AGUGAACGCUGGCGGUAGGCCUAACACAUGCAAGUCGAACGGCAGCACAGUAAGAGCUUGCUCUUACGGGUGGCGAGUGGCGGACGGGUGAGGAAUACAUCGGAAUCUACUUUUUCGUGGGGGAUAAUGUAGGGAAACUUACGCUAAUACCGCAUACGACCUACGGGUGAAAGCAGGGGAUCUUCGGACCUUGCGCGAUUGAAUGAGCCGAUGUCGGAUUAGCUAGUUGGCGGGGUAAAGGCCCACCAAGGCGACGAUCCGUAGCUGGUCUGAGAGGAUGAUCAGCCACACUGGAACUGAGACACGGUCCAGACUCCUACGGGAGGCGGCAGUGGGGAAUAUUGGACAAUGGGCGCAAGCCUGAUCCAGCCAUACCGCGUGGGUGAAGAAGGCCUUCGGGUUGUAAAGCCCUUUUGUUGGGAAAGAAAAGCAGCAGGUUAACACCCCGCUGUUCUGACGGUACCCAAAGAAUAAGCACCGGCUAACUUCGUG
rnacentral:rRNA from 1 species